GCUUACGGCCAUACCAACCUGGCUAUGCCCGAUCUCGUCUGAUUCGGAAGCUAAGCAGGUUUGGGCCUGGUUAGUACUUGGAUUGGGAGACCGCCUGGGAAUACCAGGUGCUGUAAGCU
rnacentral:rRNA from 1 species